GAUGAACGCUGGCGGCGUGCCUAAUACAUGCAAGUCGAGCGAACAGACGAGGAGCUUGCUCCUCUGACGUUAGCGGCGGACGGGUGAGUAACACGUGGAUAACCUACCUAUAAGACUGGGAUAACUUCGGGAAACCGGAGCUAAUACCGGAUAAUCUAUUGAACCGCAUGGUUCAAUAGUGAAAGACGGUUUUGCUGUCACUUAUAGAUGGAUCCGCGCCGCAUUAGCUAGUUGGUAAGGUAACGGCUUACCAAGGCAACGAUGCGUAGCCGACCUGAGAGGGUGAUCGGCCACAUGGGAACUGAGACACGGUCCAGACUCCUACGGGAGGCAGCAGUAGGGAAUCUUCCGCAAUGGGCGAAAGCCUGACGGAGCAACGCCGCGUGAGUGAUGAAGGUCUUCGGAUCGUAAAACUCUGUUAUUAGGGAAGAACAAAUGUGUAAGUAACUAUGCACGUCUUGACGGUACCUAAUCAGAAAGCCACGGCUAACUACGUG
rnacentral:rRNA from 1 species